UUUCCGUAGGUGAACCUGCGGAAGGAUCAUUAUCAAUUCUAGCAAGUACCCUUUAGGGUUCUUGCGCACGUAUUUAAAACCCCACGCUUUUAUGAAAUUUUAUAUAUAUUUUACUUUUAAUAAGUAAUUAAAAGAUCACUUUCAACAACGGAUCUCUUGGCUCUCGCAUCGAUGAAGAACGUAGCAAAGUGCGAUAAGUAGUGUGAAUUGCAGAAUUCCGUGGAUCAUCGAAUUUUUGAACGCAAAUUGCACUUUCUGGUAUUCCGGAGAGUAUGCCUGUUUGAGGGUCAGUAAAAUAAAAAAUCGAUUUGUUACCUUAUCGUGACAUUUCGGAAUUGAGCUACCUUAAAUUUUUAGGUUUAAGUGACUUAAAAUUGAUCAUUUUUGGUAUGAUUUAAGCGUGCUAAGAUUACGUUUAAUGAGUAUCGAUGUUUAUUAGGUAUGACCAUGAUCAUGGUUUCGUGCCCAUAAUUUUUUCAUGUAAUGACCUCAAAUCAGGUAGGAUUACCCGCUGAACUUAA
rnacentral:rRNA from 1 species